UAUCUAGCUCCACUACACUACUAGUCUACUACAGCGUGUAACCGUAACGCCCACGGCUCUCGGGAAGCGGGAAUGGUGCUCGUCGGACUCUUCAUAUCGGCGACGAAGCUCGCCGGAGUCCUCGUGACGCUCUCGGUCGCCGCCAACGCUUUUUCCUACAACCAUUACCGCAAGAAGAAUCUCAAGCCUUUCUGUUCUCCCAUUGACGAGUCUUUCGAUACUCUCGCCGUCUUCGACGUUAAUCCUGCCGAAGGUGAGAAAGGGUUCUUCUUCGGAUUGGCAACUGCACCAGCACAUGUGGAAGACAGGCUUAAUGAUGCUUGGCUCCAGUUUGCUGAAGAGACUCCUUGUGAACAAUCAAAAUCAAAUAAUGAAUCCCAACUAGCAGAUGCACUAUUGGCCUCUGCUACAGGUGAUGGUGGCACCCAACAAGCUUCAGUACUACCAAGAACAGCUUCUCAGACCAUAAAAAGAAGGAAGUCACUUAAGAUAGCUAUGGAGGCAAAAAUUAGAGGAUUUGAGAAGUACAUAGAAGUAGAAGAAUCUGUGCCUGCCGAGGCAUGUCAUCAUACUGUUGCUGCCUGGCAUAAUGUUCCACACCCGGAGGAAAGGCUAAGGUUUUGGUCUGACCCUGACACAGAAUUGAAGCUGGCAAAGGAUACUGGAGUCCAAGUGUUUAGGAUGGGAAUUGAUUGGUCAAGGGUUAUGCCUGAAGAGCCCAAGAAUGGUUUAAAAGAAUCUGUCAACUAUGCAGCUUUGGAGAGAUAUAAAUGGAUUGUAAAUAGGGUGCGAUUUUAUGGGAUGAAGGUAAUGCUGACAUUAUUCCAUCACUCGCUUCCACCAUGGGCUGGAGAAUAUGGGGGGUGGAAGAUGGAAAAGACCAUUGACUACUUCUUGGAAUUUACCAGGCUUGUCGUUGACUCUGUAUCAGAUGUUGUGGACUACUGGGUAACAUUCAAUGAGCCUCAUGUGUUCUGUAUGCUCACUUAUUGUGCUGGUGCUUGGCCUGGUGGUAAUCCUGAUAUGCUGGAGGUUGCUACGUCUGCUUUACCCACUGGUGUUUUCAAUCAAGCCAUGCACUGGAUGGCAAUUGCACACUCAAAGGCCUACGAUUACAUCCAUGAAAGGAGAGGAUCGGGAACGCUAGUGGGAGUCGCACACCAUGUCUCAUUUAUGCGUCCAUAUGGACUUUUUGACAUUGCUGCUGUCUCAGUUGCUAAUUCCUUGACUCUUUAUCCUUAUCUGGAUGCUAUUUCUGAGAAGCUGGAUUAUAUUGGGAUAAAUUACUAUGGACAGGAAGUUGUAUGUGGUGCUGGACUGAAGCUUGUGGAAACUGAUGAGUACAGUGAAUCGGGCCGGGGGGUUUAUCCUGAUGGCUUGUAUAGGGUUUUGCUUCAAUUCCAUGAAAGAUACAAACAUCUUAAUGUGCCUUUCAUAAUCUCGGAGAAUGGUGUUUCUGAUGGAACAGAUGUAAUUAGACGACCAUAUAUGUUGGAACAUCUGUUGGCAGUUUUUGCGGCCACUCUAGCAGGUGUCCCAAUACUUGGUUACUUGUUUUGGACAAUUUCUGAUAACUGGGAGUGGGCUGAUGGCUAUGGUCCGAAAUUUGGACUUGUAGCAGUUGACCGUUCCAACAACCUUGCCAGGAUUCCACGCCCUUCAUACCAUCUGUUUUCCAAGGUUGUCACAUCAGGUAAAAUCACACGGCAGGAUAGAGAGAAUGCUUGGAAUGAACUUCAAAUUGCAGUAAAAGAGAAAAAAACAAGACCAUUUUAUCGCUCUGUGAACAAACAUGGUUUAAUGUAUGCAGGAGGUCUUGAUGAGCCUAUAUGGCGACCAUAUAUUGAACGUGAUUGGCGGUUUGGACACUAUGAAAUGGAAGGUCUACAAGAUCCAUUGAGCCGAAUUUCACGAUUCAUUCUCCGGCCCUUCUCCAUCAAGAAGAAAUCUAAAUCCAAGACAGUGAAUGAGGAAGCCAGUCUUGAGCCUCUAAUGCAGAGCCUUUGAUGCUCCUGCAAGAAAUUAUUGUGAAAAUUCCAUCAAAUUUCUUCCGGUGAAGUUGGAGCAAGGAAUGAGACUUGGUGAAUUUACUGUUCUUCUAGUCACUGCUGGAAAGAUGUGGUUCAAGAUAUAGUCAGAGAUGUCCCUGGAUGGAGGGGUAACAUGAUGAUAUUCAUAUUCUGUCAGAUUGUAUAUAGCUUUGAAGUGCGAGUAUCAACUCUGUAUCUUGCAUUGUUAUUCGGCAUCAGAAAAAAUCAACUGUAAUUUACUCGCGGAUUGAUGGAUCGUCUAUUCAACGCUGUAACAUCUAAUGCUUACUUAUAUCCGGAAAGUGUUGACAGCCUUCUUAGUUUUUUUUUUUUU